rnacentral:rRNA from 1 species
GCAAGUCGAGCGCGGGAAGCAAAUCGAUUCCUUCGGGAUGAAGUUUGUGGAACGAGCGGCGGACGGGUGAGUAACACGUGGGCAACCUACCUGUAAGACUGGGAUAACUCCGGGAAACCGGGGCUAAUACCGGAUAGAGUUUCCUCUCGCAUGAGAGGAAUCGGAAAGGCGGCUUCGGCUGUCACUUACAGAUGGGCCCGCGGCGCAUUAGCUAGUUGGUGGGGUAAUGGCUCACCAAGGCAACGAUGCGUAGCCGACCUGAGAGGGUGAUCGGCCACACUGGGACUGAGACACGGCCCAGACUCCUACGGGAGGCAGCAGUAGGGAAUCUUCCGCAAUGGACGAAAGUCUGACGGAGCAACGCCGCGUGAACGAAGAAGGUUUUCGGAUCGUAAAGUUCUGUUGUUAGGGAAGAACAAGUACCGUUUGAAUAAGGCGGUACCUUGACGGUACCUAUCGAGGAAGCCCCGGCUAACUACGUGUCAGCAGCCGCGGUAA